GCCUCACGGGGUGGUUACAUUUUCCCCUCGUGGAAAAAAUAUCCUACUUGCCGUUAUUUCUAACCUUGCCGUACAGAUAAAACACGUGCGCCGUUGCAGCAAGAUAAUCCCGACAUUGCGUUUAUAGGUUGUUUUUUUUUUUUGGAGAAACUGCAUGUCUGGAUUAGCGGGCGGCGGUGCGGAUGUGUUGGUGGUGAAAGGCACAUUUUGAUCGGUCGUCGUCCGGUGCUGAUGACACAGCUCCGCAAGCCGUCGAACAAAGGAACGGAGAGCAAGGCCCACACACUUGGUGCAACCCGGGCUGAGAUACUCUUUAUAUAAACAUCUAGCGGAAAUCCAUCCAACGCGAUAGUUUGACUUUUUUUAUGACUGUAUUUGUGAAGCUUGUAAGUGCUAAGAAGCCAUCCCGACUCUUUUGGAGCGUUUUAGCAACAUUAGCUAGCGUUAGCUGCAAGCGUGGAUAGCCAGCAAGCUAACUGCUAACGUGAGUUCUGUUUUGAUUGAGUUGAAAAAGAAAAAAGAAACUUGUUUUUGAUCAUGGCUGAAGUGUACAUUCGCGUGGCGGAGGAGGAGAACGAGGAGCCCAUGGAGAUCCCGUCCGAGGACGACGGAACGGUGCUGCUGUCCACAGUGGCGGCUCAGUUUCCAGGAGCGUGCGGCCUGCGCUUCCGAAGCCCCGUGUCCCAGUGCAUGCGAGGGGUGCGCUUGGUGGAGGGGGUCCUGCACGCUCCAGAGAACGGAUGGGGCAAUUUGGUGUAUGUUGUGAACUACCCCAAAGAUAACAAAAGGAAGAUGGAUGAGAUCGAUGCGUCCUCUGCCGUCAAAAUGAAGAGGGGGGAUAUGAAGACAUCUGACCUGAUCGUCCUGGGUCUGCCGUGGAAAACGACAGAGCAGGAUUUGAAAGACUAUUUCAGCACCUUUGGAGAAGUCAUCAUGGUGCAGGUAAAACGAGAUGCCAAAACCGGGAACUCCAAGGGGUUUGGCUUUGUGAGGUUCACAGAAUACGAGUCACAGGAAAAGGUCAUCUCCCAGCGCCAUAUGAUUGAUGGAAGAUGGUGCGACUGCAAGCUUCCUAACUCAAAGGUGAUUAUGCAAGGUCCAGAUGAGCCACUCAGGAGCCGGAAAGUGUUUGUGGGCCGCUGCACAGAGGACAUGACCACGGAUGAUCUGCGGCAGUUCUUUAUGCAGUAUGGUGAAGUCACAGAUGUCUUCAUCCCCAAGCCAUUCCGUGCUUUUGCCUUUGUCACCUUUGCAGAUGAUCAGGUUGCCCAGUCUCUCUGUGGAGAGGACCUCAUUAUCAAGGGGGUCAGUGUGCACAUUUCAAAUGCAGAGCCUAAACAUGGCAAUAGGCAGAUGGAUCGUACUGGGCGGUUUGGGAACGGUUUUGGAGGUCAAGGAUUUGGUAGUAGCCGUAGCGGAUUAGGGAGCAGCACCAAUAGUAAUCUGGCUAAUUUUGGUUCAUUUAGCCUGAACCCCGCCAUGAUGGCUGCUGCGCAGGCUGCUCUGCAGAGUAGUUGGGGGAUGAUGGGUAUGCUGGCCAGCCAGCAAGGGCAGACAUCCACCUCAGGAAGCACCUCCACUGGAACGAGCUCUAGCAGGGACCAGAGUCAGUCCUUCACUGCAGGCAACAGCAACUACGGCACCAGCACAGCCAGUCUGGGCUGGGGAACAGGGUCAAACUCUGCAUCCACUACUACUGGGUUUAGCUCAGGGUUUGGGUCCAGUAUGGACUCAAAGUCGUCUGGGUGGGGUAUGUAAGGUAAAUGUUUUGUAUGGUAAGUAUUGUGCGAAAGAUGGGUCUUUUCUCAAAUUUAUUUCUGGUGUUACGCGUAUCUGAAAACUAAACACUUUUGUGAAAGAUGUUUUGUACAUUUGGGAAAAAAUGCUAAAGAUUUAAUUUAGAAAGUGUUGAAGUGAAAUGUUUACCAGGAUGUCCAAUUUAAGUGCUAUUUUUGAUGUCUCAUUUGUUUGUAUACAUUUCAACUGGAUUCUCUAAUGCAUGCAUUGUGAAAUGUGAUAACGAUCAUUUUGAAAAUGCAUGAAUGUCUGUGGCUCACCAUUAUCCAGCUUUGUCAUCAACUUAGAAUGCAAUCUUGCAUUGGGAAGAAUCUGGUUGAAACAACUGUUUUAAGUGCAACUUUAUUUGCAGUCAAGUUCUGUGGAAAAGCCUUCACUGAAAUCUCUUCUGCAGUUCACCUCUCUUCCAUUUUCCUGGGAGGAAGCUCCUCUUUGGCAGCAUUCUUGGGGUGAUAUCGGUAUCACUCUCCCUCUUCCCACCAGUAAAUGCUAUGCCAUCAAAGAACGGCUUCACUCCGCAUGUUCUGAGAGACGGGACCUUGGGCUCUGCUGGUCGAGGUCUCCGUUUGAAUCCUGACUGAAGUCUGUUCUGAAGGACGAAGAUGGAAGUUCCAACACUUACAUUGUGUGGCCUUCUCAGACAUGGGGUAGUACCUGUCUUCUUGCUGCUUUUCAUGGCUUUUCUGAAAGUGAAUCAUGCCUUUGAUUACUUGCACCCUGUUAUGUCAUGGUGCUGAGGGAUCAGUUUUGGGCUUUUAUACAGAAAGGGUGAACAUGGCAAUGUGGCAUCAACUCCCAAAGUGAUGGUGGUAACAAAAAAAAAAAAAAAAAAAUCAUUAGCUCAUGGCCAUACAUAGAUCAAUACCUAAAGUGUCCUCUAAUUUAGGGAGUGGAUGACACAUUGCUGGGCUUUUUCAGUGGUGAUGGGAUUUUUUUUUUUUUUUUUUUUAAUGGGAAGGUGGCUCUAUUUCCCUGGGAAGUGAAGCUGACAGUCUCAGUUGUCCCUUGAGAUUUCUUUAGGUUAGGUUUCACCAUAAGUAACUCCCUAACUUAGAAACAUGCUGAAUGUGACAUUAAUGUAAGAAUUUAAUAAUACAAACAUCGCUCCCAACAAAAAAAUGAAGUCAACUUUUAUUUUAAGUCUGUAUAACCAAGUUUUCACCAGAGCAAUGUUUAUUUUUUAGCCUGCAUACAUGUAGCAGUUAAUGAAAGGUCAGUCUUCAGUGUUGAUCAAUCCAUGUUUGAGUGACGCUUAUAAUUUUGCCAAGUGAUGGUGGCAUCAGUGAGUCUCAGGGCAGCAAGUAUUGGGAGGUUAAUUUCUCCUUCACUGCAGAAGUGAACACAAUCUAUUGUAGUUAUGCAUAAUUGCUAACAGAAUUGAAGACUAUAGAGCUGUUCAAAGUACAGAUCACAGGCAGAAUAGACACCAUGAACAAAAAACUGUUUGGAUGACACUUGACUCAUGGCAAAUAAAGCAGUCAGCAUGUUUUAUUUUGCCAACAGUUUAGGAGACACUGCAGGCCUGCCUUUCUCUUGUCGUUAUUCCCUGCUGUCCUCUUCAGUGUCUCUGCUCUUCCUCUUCCCAGUAUUCUUCUUCUUUAAAUCCCUCUGCUCCUGAUUUUUAAGCUCUUCAAUUUUAUUUUGUAUGAAGAUGGACUGGAAUAAAUAAAGGGAAAUCAAACAAUG